UACGGAGGGGACUAGCGUUGUUCGGAAUUACUGGGCGUAAAGCGCACGUAGGCGGAUUUGUAAGUCAGGGGUGAAAUCCCGGGGCUCAACCUCGGAACUGCCUUUGAUACUGCAUCGCUUGAAUCCGGGAGAGGUGAGUGGAAUUCCGAGUGUAGAGGUGAAAUUCGUAGAUAUUCGGAAGAACACCAGUGGCGAAGGCGGCUCACUGGACCGGUAUUGACGCUGAGGUGCGAAAGCGUGGGGAGCAAACAGG
rnacentral:rRNA from 1 species